rnacentral:rRNA from 1 species
GAUGAACGCUGGCGGCGUGCUUAACACAUGCAAGUCGAACGGGAAUUAUUUUAUUGAUCUUUCGGUCGAUUUCAUUUAAUUCUAGUGGCGGACGGGUGAUUAACGCGUGGGUAACCUGCCUUAUACAGGGGGAUAACAGUCAGACAUGGCUGCUAAUACCGCAUAAGCGCACAGAGCUGCAUUUCUCAUUGUGAAAAACUCCGGUGGUAUAAGAUGGACCCGCGUUGGAUUAGCUUGUUGGCAGGGUAACGGCCUACCAAGGCGACGAUCCAUAGCCGGCGUGAGAGAGUGAACGGAGACAUUGGGACUGAGAAGCGGCCCAGAAUCCUACGGGAGGCAGCAGUGGGGAAUAUAGCACAAUGGGGGAAACGAUGAUGCAGCGACGCCGCGUGAAGGAAGAAGUAUGGCGGUAUGUAAACUUCUAUCAGCAGGGAAGAUAGUGACGGUACCUGACUAAGAAGCCCCGGCUAACUACGUG